rnacentral:rRNA from 1 species
CAGUCGCCGCGGUAAUACAGAGGGUGCGAGCGUUAAUCGGAUUUACUGGGCGUAAAGCGUGCGUAGGCGGCUUCUUAAGUCGGAUGUGAAAUCCCUGAGCUUAACUUAGGAAUUACAUUCGAUACUGGGAAGCUAGAGUAUGGGAGAGGAUGGUAGAAUUCCAGGUGUAGCGGUGAAAUGCGUAGAGAUCUGGAGGAAUACCGAUGGCGAAGGCAGCCAUCUGGCCUAAUACUGACGCUGAGGUACGAAAGCAUGGGGAGCAAACAGGAUUAGAUACCCGCGUAGUCCCUGUCUCUUAUAC